rnacentral:rRNA from 1 species
UACAGAGGGUGCGAGCGUUAAUCGGAAUUACUGGGCGUAAAGGGUGCGUAGGUAGUUUGUUGAGUUGUAUGUGAAAUCCCCGGGCUUAACCUGGGAAUGGCAUAUGAUACUGGCGAGCUAGAGUCGGGUAGAGGGAAGUGGAAUUUCCGGUGUAGCGGUGAAAUGCGUAGAUAUCGGAAGGAACACCAGUGGCGAAGGCGGCUUCCUGGACUCAGACUGACACUGAAGCACGAAAGCGUGGGUAGCAAACAGG